rnacentral:rRNA from 1 species
AUACGAAGGGAGCUAGCGUUAUUCGGAAUUACUGGGCGUAAAGAGCGUGUAGGCGGUUAAUUAAGUUAGUUGUUAAAUUCCUCGGCUUAACCGAGGGUCAGCAAUUAAUACUGGUUGACUAGAGGGCGAGAGAGAAAAGUGGAAUUCUCGGAGUAGCGGUAAAAUGCAUAGAUCUCGAGAUGAACACCAGUUGCGAAGGCGGCUUUUUGGCUCGUUUCUGACGCUAAAACGCGAAAGCGUGGGGAGCAAACAGGAUUAGAUACCCUAGUAGUCC